UACAGAGGGUGCUAGCGUUGUUCGGAAUCAUUGGGCGUAAAGGGCGUGUAGGCGGUUUGUUAAGUCAUGUGUGAAAUCCCUCGGCUCAACCGGGGAACGACGCAUGAAACUGGCAAGCUAGAGUACCAAAGAGGGGGGUGGAAUUCCAGGUGUAGCGGUGAAAUGCGUAGAUAUCUGGAGGAACACCGGUGGCGAAGGCGGCAUCCUGGACCGACACUGACGCUGAGGAGCGAAAGCCAGGGGAGCAAACGGG
rnacentral:rRNA from 1 species